GACCUCGGAUCAGGUAGGGAUACCCGCUGAACUUAAGCAUAUCAAUAAGCGGAGGAAAAGAAACCAACGGGGAUUGCCUCAGUAACGGCGAGUGAAGCGGCAACGGCUCAAAUUUGAAAUCUGGCUCUUUCAGGGUCCGAGUUGUAAUUUGUAGAAGAUGCUUUGGGUGUGGCUCCGGUCUAAGUUCCUUGGAACAGGACGUCAUAGAGGGUGAGAAUCCCGUAUGUGACUGGUUGCCUUCGCCCGUGUAAAGCUCUUUCGACGAGUCGAGUUGUUUGGGAAUGCAGCUCAAAAUGGGUGGUAAAUUUCAUCUAAAGCUAAAUAUUGGCCAGAGACCGAUAGCGCACAAGUAGAGUGAUCGAAAGAUGAAAAGCACUUUGGAAAGAGAGUUAAACAGUACGUGAAAUUGUUGAAAGGGAAGCGC
rnacentral:rRNA from 1 species